GUUAUAUAUAUAUCAUAUCUCUAAAAUUGGAAUGAUACAGAGAUGAUUAGCGUGACCCGGUGCAAGGAGGACACGCACAUUUGUGAAGCAUUCCAUACUUCA